UUGAACGCUGGCGGCAUGCUUUACACAUGCAAGUCGAGCGGCAGCGCGGGGGGCAACCCUGGCGGCGGAGCGGCGAACGGGUGAGUAACAGAUAGGAACGUGUCCGGGAGUGGGGGAUAACUAGCCGAAAGGUUAGCUAAUACCGCAUAUUCUGUGCGCAGGAAAGCGGGGGAUCGCAAGACCUCGCGCUCGCGGAGUGGCCUAUCUCCGAUUAGCUAGUUGGUGAGGGUAAAGGCUUACCAAGGCGACGAUCGGUAGCUGGUCUGAUGAGGAUGAUCAGCCACACUGGGACUGAGACACGGCCCAGACUCCUACGGGAGGGCAGCAGUGGGGAAUUUUGGACAAUGGGGGGCAACCCUGAUCCAGCCAUGCCGCGUGCGGGAAGAAGGCCUUCGGGUUGUAAACCGCUUUUAUCCGGAAAGAAGGAGUCCAGGUUAAUACCCUGGAUGACUGACGGUACCGGAGGAAUAAGCACCGGCUAACUACGUGCCAGCAGCCGCGGUAAUACGUAGGGUGCGAGCGUUAAUCGGAAUUACUGGGCGUAAAGCGUGCGCAGGCGGUUCGUUAAGUCAGCUGUGAAAGCCCCGGGCUCAACCUGGGAAUUGCGGUUGAAACUGGCGAACUAGAAUCUGGCAGAGGGGGGUGGAAUUCCACGUGUAGCAGUGAAAUGCGUAGAGAUGUGGAGGAACACCGAUGGCGAAGGCAGCCCCCUGGGCUGAGAUUGACGCUCAGGCACGAAAGCGUGGGGGAGCAAACAGGAUUAGAUACCCUGGUAGUCCACGCCCUAAACGAUGUCAACUAGGUGUUGGAGGAGCAAUCCUUUGGUACCGCAGCUAACGCGUGAAAGUCUGACCGCCUGGGGAGUACGGUCGCAAGAUUAAAACUCAAAGGAAUUGACGGGGACCCGCACAAGCGGUGGAUGAUGUGGAUUAAUUCGAUGCAACCGCGAACAACCUUACCUACCCUUGACAUGUCUGGAAUCCUGCUGAAAGGCGGGAGUGCCCGAAUAGGGAACCGGAACACAGGUGCUGCAUGGCUGUCGUCAGCCUCGUGUCGUGAGAUGUUGGGUUAAGUCCCGCAACGAGCGCAACCCUCGCGAUUAGUUGCCAAUCAGGUUUGCUGGCACUCUAAUCGGUACUGCCGGAGUUAAAUCCGGAGGAAGGCGGGGAUGACGUCAAGUCCUCAUGGCCCUUACUAGGGUAGGGCUACACACGUCAUACAAUGGCGACGUACAGAGGGUCUGCAAUCCCGCGAGGGGGAGCCAAUCCCAGAAAGCGCGUCGUCAGUUCCGGAUUGUUAAGUCUGCAACUCGGACUUCAUGAAGUUGGAAUCGCUAGUAAUCGCAGGAUCAGCAUGCUGCGGUGAAUACGUUCCCGGGCCUUGUACACACCGCCCGUCACACCAUGGGAGUGGGGCUUUACCCGAAGGCAGGCUGCCUAACCGCAAGGAGGGCAGGCUACCACGGUGAGGCUUCAUCGACUGGGGUG
rnacentral:rRNA from 1 species